UUCUAGGGCACUUGCAAGCUCUCUGAGUCAUGCGUUAUGGGGUAACUGAGAGGGUGGCUCACUGGGGAAAGGGUCUAACCUUUUCCAGGUCCAGGCUAGCCAUGAGUAGGAAAGGUCACUCUGGCUACUGGUCUCCACUCCACGUGUUAAUGGUUUCAAAAGACCCAUUUGGCCUGAAGACAGGGCUGAUCUGCUGGUGAAAGGCCCAGCACGAAGGCUCAGAAUUCAGCCCUUUUCAUCUAUUUCUAACUGGGUAUCAGAGGCGAUUAAAAGCCUGCCCGAUGAAAUUAAAGGCCUGUGGCUACCGAGUCGUACUCAAAGACCUCCGACCAUUUUAAAUCCCAGAGCACAGAGCGACAACUGUUCAGCCCUGCCGGCCACACUCUGAGGAGAAUUAAACUGCCUUUCUGAGCCUCGACUGCAGCCCUUUUCCCCGACUCAUGUCAUGGUAACUUAUUAUUCAAAAAUGACAGGACCGGGAUGAUGUCAACCACAUCUGAUCCAAGGGUGUGACCCAGAAGAAGCCUCAAUCGUCCUCAGCAUCGCUCAGGCACCACCAAGAGCCUCACCCCUCACCUUGUGAGGCUCAAAACGGCAUCAGAAUGCCAAACUGCAAAAAAGAAUAAACCUCCAAGCACUGGAAGAAAGCUCGGAAUCCAGAAAUUCUGGAGACGUGCCCAAGGGGAAGUACAAAAUGUAUUAGUAGAGCAGCCAGAACCAGAAUCCAGGUUUCGGAGUCCCAGCCCCAGUGCAGUGCGCGUUGAUAUAGAUUAAACGUGGAGGCACACACAGAACGACCCUAGAGGCUACCAGAGCUGGAGAUAAGAGAUUAGUGAAUUUCUGUCUCAACUGGCUGUUCUAUGUAUCUACUCUAACCUCCUUAACUCAAAGUGACAUCUGUGGCUUUUCGUGCCAUGUCAUUAUUCCACUACAUUCUAGUUUGAGGUUUCUGAGGUUAGUAUGCAUAAGAGCUUUCCAACCUCUGACUCAAAUGAGCUCUAUUUUCCCCAAACAUAUAACUGACUAUUGAAUCUCGUUUUCAUGAGAAAUACAAAAGCAAUCGUGAUUCAUGUCUCCAAUGCGAGGCUUACACGAUUUUUGAAAAUGUGCGUACUUUUCUCUGACCGUAAAAUAACAUCUGCCUGCCGUAGAAAAUGUAAAUUAUUACAGAAAAAGAUAAGGAAGAAAACUAAAUUAACUUCUUGACCUACUACUCAGUGAUAACCCAUAUUAAAAUGUGGGUGUAUUUAAUGUAUCAAGAUACAAAAAUUCUUUCAGAGCACAACUGUGAUUAAAGUGAAAAAUACCUUCAUAUGUCCCGCCUUUUUACUCAACAUUACACAUCAGUAAAGAUUCUUUAAAUAUAAGCUUUAUAUUGCGGCCAAAUAUUACAUCCUACUGAUGAAUUAUUAUUCAUUACACCAUCCACUGUUAUUGAAAAUGGGGUUUUUCCACUUUUUCAGAUAUAAAUAACGUGGCAGUAAGCAGCUUUUUAUCUCCACUUAUUUCUACAGAAUAUACUUGCAGUAGGGAAUUACUGGGUCAGUGUGUGAGCAGUGGUAAGACUCUUAAUAUAUAUUGGAAAAGUCCAUUCCAGAAAGGUUGUUUAUAUCCAAAUAGGAGAAUAUAUAGGUACCUAUCUUGUUCUCUUUGCCAAUAAUGAGUAGUAUCAUUUUUUAAAGGCUUGAAACUUACAUGUAAACAUUUUAAUCUCGUUCUGUUCAUUUGUAUUUCUUAAUUUACAGGUUGAAAUUUUUUAUGUGUUGGUUUAUUGGCCAUUUUCCUCUCUCAUUCUCUCCCAGACCCCCUCCCUUCCCACUGUGUGUGUGUGUGUGUGUGUGUGUGUGUGUGUGUGUGUGUGUGUAUGGAAACUGAAUGUUCAUAUCUGUACCCAUUUCUCUACUGAAAUGUCAAGGUUUCACUUAUUUAUUUGUAAGAGAUUUUUAUAUAAUAAAGAUGUUAAACUUUUGCCUGGGGUAAAAUACAUUGGGAAUCAAUUUUAAAUAUAUGAAAUUUAAAGUGACAAGAUGCAUUAGUUUCUACACUGUCACUAGCAUAGCAAUAACUCAUGCCACCUGCUGGUAACAAAACAAGGUAAAAUUGAUUAAUUCUUCAUAUUUCCAAGAUGGGAUGCAGAGUUAAUGCUUCGCCCAUGCUGAUUAUAUUAAAGUGUUAGGAACAAAAGACAAAUGGUCAGCUGGGGUUAUUUAUGAUAUUUCAUACACACGGAUCUUAUGACUAAGAAUCUUGGUUCACAUUUAAAUUUUUUAAAGUUUACUUCACUUAACUGGACAAAAAAAAAAGCACCUAUUACACAUUAUUAAGAGAAAG